GAGGCGAACCGGGUGAUCGCCGGCGGUCGCCGCCAUGCUCGGCAACGAGUGGUGCGUCGGCCGCGGGAGGAAAGUCCGGGCUCCACAGGACACGGCGGUGGGUAACUCCCACCGGCCGCAAGGUCAGGGAAAGUGCAACAGAAAGCAAACCGCCGCGUCGCUACCUGCCGGUUGCGGCGCGGUAAGGGUGAAACGGUGAGGUAAGAGCUCACCAGCAGGCUGGGUGACCAGCCUGGCUAGGUAAACCCCGCCGGGAGCAAGGCCAAGCAGGAAGGAUGGCUCGGUCCGGGCCGCUACCACUUCCGGGUAGGCCGCUUGAGGCGUCGAGCAAUCGCCGUCCUAGAGGAAUGAUCACCCCGCGGCGCUAGGCGUCGACUGGGCCGCUUGUCGGCUCGUGCGACGUGCGAGCGCCGCGGACAGAACCCGGCUUACAGGUUCGCUUCGCGU
rnacentral:RNase_P_RNA from 1 species